rnacentral:rRNA from 1 species
UCGCCUGUUUUUCAAAAACNUCGNUGNUAAAUUCUAUCNGUWAGAUCUGCCCAGUGAACUUUUAACGGCCGCAGUAUUUUAACUGUGCUAAGGUAGCAUAAUCAUUAGUUUUUUAAUUGAGAACUCGUAUGAACGAUUCGACGAGACACCUCCUCUCUUAAUAAUUGUCUUAACUUGCUUAAAAAGUUAAAAAGCUUUUUAAACCCAAAUGGACGACAAGACCCUAUAAAACUUUACUUUUAAAAAGUUAAAUGUUUUAGAAAUUUUUCAUCUCCUAAAAGUUUUGCUGGGGCGGCUUGUUCUAAUUAAAAACAAAACACACUCUAACAAAUUAAUUGAUAUUCAUAAACAUUGCAAAGUAAUUAAGACCAAGUUACUUUAGGGAUAACAGCGCAAUGUGCUUUUAGAGCUCUUAUCGACAAGCACGAUUACGACCUCGAUGUUGAAUUGAAAUACCUAAGUGAAGCAGACCUUACUAAAGGAAGUCUGUUCGACUUGUAACUUUUUACAUGAUUUGAGUUCCAAACCGGA